UACGGAAGGCAGCAGUGGGGAAUAUUGCACAAUGGGCGCAAGCCUGAUGCAGCCAUGCCGCGUGUAUGAAGAAGGCCUUCGGGUUGUAAAGUACUUUCAGUCGUGAGGAAGGUGUUAAGGUUAAUAACCUUAGCAAUUGACGUUAGCGACAGAAGAAGCACCGGCUAACUCCGUGCCAGCAGCCGCGGUAAUACGGAGGGUGCGAGCGUUAAUCGGAAUUACUGGGCGUAAAGGGCACGCAGGCGGUUAAUUAAGUCGGAUGUGAAAUCCCCGGGCUUAACCUGGGAAUGGCAUUCAAGACUGGUUAGCUAGAGUCUUGUAGAGGGGGUAGAAUUCCAUGUGUAGCGGUGAAAUGCGUAGAGAUGUGGAGGAAUACCGGUGGCGAAGGCGGCCCCUGGACAAAGACUGACGCUCAUGUGCGAAAGCGUGGGGAGCAAAC
rnacentral:rRNA from 1 species